AGUGAACGCUGGCGGUAGGCCUAACACAUGCAUGUCGAACGGCAGCACAGUAAGAGCUUGCUCUUACGGGUGGCGAGUGGCGGACGGGUGAGGAAUACAUCGGAAUCUACUUUUUCGUGGGGCUUAACGUAGGGAAACUUACGCUAAUACCGCUUACGACCUACGGGUGAAAGCAGGGGAUCUUCGCACCUUGCGCGAAUGAAUGAGCCGAUGUCGGAUUAGCUAGUUGGCGGGGUAAAGGCCCACCAAGGCGACGAUCCGUAGCUGGUCUGAGAGGAUGAUCAGCCACACUGGAACUGAGACACGGUCCAGACUCCUACGGGAGGCAGCAGUGGGGAAUAUGGGACCAUGGGCGCAAGCCUGAUCCAGCCAUACCGCGUGAGUGAAGAAGGCCUUCGGGUUGUAAAGCCCUUUUGUUGGGAAAGAAAAGCAGCAGGUUAAUACCCCGCUGGUCUAACGGUACCCAAAGAAUAAGCACCGGCUAACUUAGUG
rnacentral:rRNA from 1 species